CACAAAACUUCUGUAAUGCAAAACAAAAAUAACAUAGUUUGUUAAUAUUUGCCUUUUGAUUUUUAUCAGUUUGUAGAGGAUUUACAAGAGGCUCCACCGCACCUGGUGAAGUGACGAUGGCUUUUGAUCUGAGUUCGUGCUGAAUAUGUCCGUGUGGCGCAACUAUGAGUACAAUUUCGUGUGUAUGUUUUACAUUACUAGGUCUGGCUUGACGUUAUCACCAUUGUACUAUCAGCGCAAACCAAGCAAGACAAAUAUAUACAAAAAUGUUAGAAAUAUGUAGUUACUGGCACGAAGAACGUUAGUUAAUUUACUCGUUUAAAGGCAUUUACGGGCAACUUACCUAUUGUACACUUCCUAAUAAUUUCUUAUUUAUGAUACCCCAAAUUACACUACAUAUAAAAUAAACAAAUGUAGUCGAUGAGCAAGGUUCCAGUUUUUAGAAAUUGAAAAAAUAGGUAAAUAAUAUAUAAUAAGCAUGACAUUAUGUAAUUAUAAUCACGUAAGACGGGGUAAUAACUAAAACUGUUCAAGCAUUAAAUAAAAUAUAUUUAAUUCA